rnacentral:tRNA from 1 species
GCGGAUAUAGCUCAGUUGGUUAGAGCGCUAGAUUGUGGCUUUAGAGGUCGCCGGUUCGAGACCGGUUAUUCGCC